UACAGAGGGUGCAAGCGUUAAUCGGAAUUACUGGGCGUAAAGGGCUCGUAGGCGGCCAACUAAGUCAGACGUGAAAUCCCUCGGCUUAACCGGGGAACUGCAUCUGAUACUGGAUGGCUUGAGAUUGGGAGAGGGAUGCGGAAUUCCAGGUGUAGCGGUGAAAUGCGUAGAUAUCUGGAGGAACACCGGUGGCGAAGGCGGCAUCCUGGACCAACACUGACGCUGAGGAGCGAAAGCCAGGGGAGCAAACGGG
rnacentral:rRNA from 1 species